rnacentral:misc_RNA from 1 species
GUGAAUCAUCGAAUCUUUGAACGCAAAUUGCGCCUUUUUCGGAAGGCACGACUGUUUGAGGGCACCAUUUAACAAAUAAUGUGCAGCGUUUUUUGUUGCACACGUUGAUGAGCUUUCCAAGAAUUUUAAAUUUUUGGUGGCGCAUAAUGAACAGCGUGAAAGGUUUUUUCAGGUCGAGUUUAGUAAAAUCUUUGCUUGGGUCGUGAAAAAACAUAAUCGCGCAAUGUGGGCUGUAAUUUCUUGUUAUCCAUGCCCCAUAGCCACUCUUUCUC